ACUCCUACGGGAGGCAGCAGUGGGGAAUUUUGGACAAUGGGCGAAAGCCUGAUCCAGCAAUGCCGCGUGAGUGAAGAAGGCCUUCGGGUUGUAAAGCUCUUUUGUCAGGGAAGAAACGGUGAGAGCUAAUAUCUUUUGCUAAUGACGGUACCUGAAGAAUAAGCACCGGCUAACUACGUGCCAGCAGCCGCGGUAAUACGUAGGGUGCAAGCGUUAAUCGGAAUUACUGGGCGUAAAGCGUGCGCAGGCGGUUUUGUAAGUCUGAUGUGAAAUCCCCGGGCUCAACCUGGGAAUUGCAUUGGAGACUGCAAGGCUAGAAUCUGGCAGAGGGGGGUAGAAUUCCACGUGUAGCAGUGAAAUGCGUAGAUAUGUGGAGGAACACCGAUGGCGAAGGCAGCCCCCUGGGUCAAGAUUGACGCUCAUGCACGAAAGCGUGGGGAGCAAACAGGAUUAGAAACCCCUGUAGUCCCAU
rnacentral:rRNA from 1 species